GGGUCAGUAGGUUGGUCGUGCCACCGGUACGUACUGGUCUUACUGAUUCCUCCUUCCUGAAGAACCGUAAUGCCAUUAAUUUGGUGUUGCGGGGAAACAGGACUGUUACUUUGAAAAAAUUAGAGUGUUUAAAGCAAGCUAACGCUUGAAUACAUUAGCAUGGAAUAAUGAAAUAGGACGAUCGAUCCUAUUUUGUUGGUUUCUAGGAUUGACGUA
rnacentral:rRNA from 1 species